UAGGGAAUCUUCGGUAAUGGACGAAAGUCUGACCGAGCAACGCCGCGCGAGUGAAGAAGGUUUUCGGAUCGUAAAACUCUGUUGUUAGAGAAGAACAAGGACGUUAGUAACUGAACGUCCCCUGACGGUAUCUAACCAGAAAGCCACGGCUAACUACGUGCCAGCAGCCGCGGUAAUACGUAGGUGGCAAGCGUUGUCCGGAUUUAUUGGGCGUAAAGCGAGCGCAGGCGGUUUCUUAAGUCUGAUGUGAAAGCCCCCGGCUCAACCGGGGAGGGUCAUUGGAGAGUGGGAGACUUGGGUGCAGAAGAGGGGAGUGGAAUUCCAUGUGUAGCGGUGAGAUGCGUAGAUAUAUGGAGGAACACCAGUGGCGAAGGCGGCUCUCUGGUCUGUACCUGACGCUGAGGCACGGAAGCGUGGGGAGCAAACAGG
rnacentral:rRNA from 1 species